GUCCUUUCUCCGCUCUCACGUGGCGCGCAGCACGGCGGUGCUGGUGGCUUUGGCCUGGCGGGUGGUUAUGGCUUGGGAAUCCGAAGUGUCCGCGGCGGCUUUGGGCCGCUGCGAUCCCUUCCCGGCAAGUGGGAAGACGGCGCGGAGACGGUGGCGGUGUGAGGAGCACGGCCCGCCGGACCCCAUGGGAAAUGGGUCGGUGUGAGCCGAGCGCCGUCUGUGAUGUGGAUCUUCGCCGUCUGCCCAGCCGCACCCCUGGGCGAGAGUGGAGUGGCGAUCGGAGUCGAGAGGUAGGUGUUUGAAGCUGACCGACACUUGCGGAACGACACACGGGAGCGCCAAGGUGGCUCAAGGGUGUCCUUGAUCGUUUGGAAAUGUGAUCUUCAGAAACAUGGAUGACUUGAAUUUUCUAAGAGCUGUGUAAGGGCACAUUUUUGUAACAAAGCUAUGAAUAAAUAUUUAAUAUGCUGCUCUGA